rnacentral:rRNA from 1 species
CCUACGGGAGGCAGCAGUAGGGAAUAUUGCUCAAUGGGGGAAACCCUGAAGCAGCAACGCCGCGUGGAGGAUGAAGGUUUUCGGAUUGUAAACUCCUUUUGUUAGAGAAGAUAAUGACGGUAUCUAACGAAUAAGCACCGGCUAACUCCGUGCCAGCAGCCGCGGUAAUACGGAGGGUGCAAGCGUUACUCGGAAUCACUGGGCGUAAAGAGCGCGUAGGCGGGAUAGCAAGACAGAUGUGAAAUCCUAUGGCUUAACCAUAGAACUGCAUUUGAAACUGUUAUUCUAGAGUAUGGGAGAGGUAGGUGGAAUUCUUGGUGUAGGGGUAAAAUCCGUAGAGAUCAAGAGGAAUACUCAGUGCGAAGGCGACCUGCUGGAACAUUACUGACGCUGAUGCACGAAAGCGUGGGGAGCAAACAGGAUUAGAUACCCCAGUAGUC